rnacentral:lncRNA from 1 species
UGCGCAUCCGAUGCGUGAACAAAUCGUAAUGUUCUUGCGAGUAAUCUGCAUAAUUAUUCCCGGGUAACGUUCAAUCUUGUUUUGUUUUCCGGGCGCGACGUCCACUUGACGUCUUUUGUGGAGCGGCUCAGUCGCUUUUUUUGCUGCACACGUGAAGUGAUCCCUUAGUAUUUCCUGUGAAUGUAGGAGGUUCGGAUGCGGACCGCUGCAUGGAAUACGAAGAUGCGAAAGUUUAUUGAUCUCAUAGCACUGGGCGCGGGAGAACGGCAACAAUGAGGAGCUCAUACAUCCUUUGCUCAACGGUGAUUCUUCUGCUGCUUUGGAUGAAAACAGAAAUAGCAUUAGAGGCGAGCAAAAUCAAAACUGGGGUCGAGAUUUUGAUGAAGUUCUACAAACCAUGCGUGACUGGAUGGAAUAGCACCAAUUGUUUUCGGGAAAAAACUGUGCAUCAACCAGACCCCGUACACACGACCAACCGUACUUCACCUCAAACAGGUAACACGAUGCCAUCUGAGGACCCACCCCAACAAGACAACGUAACUUCUACCAAAAGGAGCCAGACUAAUUUUGCCGUGGGCGCAAAUUUAAACUUCACGCUCAUUGGUUUGGUUCGCAAGAUUGUACGAUUAUUCUCAACGGUUGCGACCUCCGGCAAAACUACGAAUCCAUCCAUGGCAAGAUCAAGCGAACCUGCCGAUGAUCAACGGAAAGACGAAAAAAAUUCUGCUAUCAAGGGCAAGAAAGUUCAGAAAGAUGCUUCAGAAUACUCAGAGGACAAUAAUUACACCGAGGAAGAUAUGCAAUUCGAGCCAGAUCAAGGUCACGAAGGUAGUGAUAUGGGUUACGCGGGAGAGGAGGAGGAACUUGAACUGGAGGAACCGGAAGAGGAAACAGAGGAAGAAGACGAUGAUGACGAUCUUGGCGGUGGCGGUGGUGGAUACAUGCGCCCUAUCGCAAUGAACAUGGGCGCCAUAAUGACGAAACCCAGCAUGGAGCCGCAGAAAAUGCCCAACACAGGGUCAGUGAGCCUCAAGAAAGAACCAUCCUCAAUGAUGUCUGGCAUGAGUUGGCCCAUGAGACCCAUGCAGAUGAUGCCUCUUAUGGGAGCGCCCAAUGGAGGUGAAAUGAUGAUGCCCCUAAAAAGUGGUGACGAAGACGACGGUGGCCAAAAUAUGGUGCCCAUGAUGAUGAUGAUGAUGCCAUCCUCCGACUCAUCGCACCACGACAAGCAUAAACACAAGGACAAGCAUAAGCACAAAAAAGAAGAAGAAAAAGAAGCAUAAGAAGAAAAAAGAGAGUGCAGCCGCUGCUAUGAUGGCCGAUAAAAUGGACGGUGGUGGAGAUGGGGCCGGCAUGAUGCCCGACCCUUCCACCAUGAUGAAAAUGGGGAUGAUUGGGGUUGGGGGUAUGGUUUUGCUCAUCCUCAAAGCCAUCACGCUGAUUUCGGGUAAAGCUGUUCUGCCAGCACCAUAGCGCUCACCUUAUCCAUCAUCAUGGCCUUAAAAGCGCUCUUCAACUCAGUCCAUGCGCAUCCACCAGAGGGCGCUGAUAAGGUCAUGACUUACAUGAAGAAGCCGAUUCAUAUCAACGCUGACGCUGGUUACCCGGACUAUAGGAACUACCAUGGAAGUGACUGGGGCUACCAUGAUUCUAGUUACUUCCCAACGAAGAAGUCCGGGAAGCUGCCAGAGUAUAAAAUAGACAAGCUCAAGCGAAAAGAUAAGACUCCUACAACCCUAGCUCAAACUGAACUCACAACGGGCAGUCCCGUCAACCCUUUCGAUUUCAACCCGGAGACGUAUAGCUCGGCAAAUAUUAUAAAUUAUAAAAGUGGUCUGAAUAACAGUGGUAUCAGCCAAUUCUAUUCACAUUCCGUCCCACUUUACACAGGAUAUGCUCCGAUCAAUUCUUGAGGAUUCUUCUAUUCUUGAAAAAUAAAGAAUUAAAAAACAUUUACAAUAUUUUUCCUUACCUUUUUGUAAUGCUAAAAUAGUUUAAAUCUACUUUGCUAAUACUACAAGUUCUCAUUCUUAAGUUACAUUCCUAUUUUGCAAUUUUCUACUUAAAGGAAAAGAAAAAAGAAAAAAAAGUCAUGGUCACACGGUUAUUUCUGUACCUGAAAAGUGCAUUAUGGUCCAACAGUUCUCUGUGCUUUUUGCAAACCUAACCGAUGAAUCAUAGAACUAGUAUAGUAUUGCUCAAGUUCACAAAAUAUUUUUUAUUGUAAAAUUUUUGUUUUCAUUGUGCACAUAAUGAUGAAAUGUUUACACAUUUGUUCUACCGACAAAUGAUGUGUUUUUCACUAAUCAUAAAACGAUCGUUACAGGUUUCACCAAUUAUAGUUACGAGCUAAACAAUCAGUAAACGUAUACGUUUUUGUGUUUCCGUUAUGAUUCGAUUACUCACAUCGAAUUUCAAUUUGAAUUCAAUUUAUUGAAGUAAGUUUUUUAUUGCCAACAGUGGGCUGUAAAGUCUAUUUUUAAGAAAUUUUCAUGGGAAAAGAUGUUGCGUAGUGCUUCCAUUCAUAUUUCGUCUGGGCGCUCAUUGUGCGGUUUUUAUUUAGAUAGUUGCGUAAUUUGAGUUUUUUUAGAUUCCAAACUAAUGAACUAAGCCGUAUUCUCUGAAUGAGCUCAUUUCAAUGAAAAUGUAUCAUAGUCGCUCAACAAACGCACACUUGAGAAACAUUACUUUCAACCAAUAAUGCCAGACAAAAAUGCUUUAUAAACUAUAGAAAUUGGGAAAUGGUUCGUACGAGGAUAAACUAUUUUUAAAUAUCGACGCACAUGAAACAAGCCUCCAAUGUUAGCUACUGUAUACGGCAUGACUAUUCAUUACAUUUUCACUGCCAAUACGAACAAAAACAACCAACAAUAAAGUUGUUAUUCCCGGUUAUAUGAAUUUUAGGAAAUGCAAAGCAGCAAGUGAGUGUAACUCAAACUUAUUGAUGCUACAAGAUUCUCCAGUAGAAGCACUACGUAUAAUAGGGACACAUUUAUCUUCUAUUUAAAAAAAUAGAAAUGUACUUCAGCACAAAUUACACAGGUCUCCUGACUGCUGCAAUAUGUUGAGCACUUUAUCAAUUUGGAAAACUAUAGUCGCAAACUUUCACAUGUAGAAAAAUUCUAUUACACACGUUGUGCAUUGGUUUGUGAUAGAGGAUUUCAUGCAGAAGACACGUAAAUUUCUCGAAUAUAAGUGAGGAGCGCACACUUUGAUAUUUACAUUAUUAUUAGAGGACAUUCCAUGCCGAGGUACCGUUACGCUUUUUGAAAUAUUUUUAUUGACAAGCCUUAUUCGAGAUGGCUGCCGAGGAAGCGAUCAACAAAACAGCAGGUAAGCACUCCUGAAACCUGAAAUCCUUCACCAUUCCACCUCUAGAAUCCUCUUUGAGGUAUCAACAUGGGUUGACAAAAGGUGAUACCAGCAGUGAUAACAAAUGGGUAUUCAAACGAUUUCACCAAAAUUAUGAAAAUACCACCAGUUAUCGGGCUCCCGACCUUACAGCAUUACUGUGUCAAAAAUUAAGUAGAUUAGGCAACGAUAGAUAUUACCAUCCUUCCACUACAAUUUUCCAUACAUUGUUUCAGUAAGCCUGGCUCAUCCUAGCGUAUACAUUUCUACAUAAUAAUUUGAAAGUCAAAGUUCAGAAAAAAUGCAUUUUUAUUGCAAAAUGAAAAUCGAUAUAUCUAAAUAUAUGUAUGGCAAAAGUGAAAAUCACGCACCUCCGUUUGUGACGUUGCGAGGUUCCUCUUGUAUUUGAUUUUUCUUUGGAAAACUAGUCAAAACAAUUUGCCUUUUGUGUUUAAAAAAUAUUUGUAUGAAUUUCAAGCUAUAAACUUGGCUUGUUUCUCAUAAAAAAAUUAAAUAGAAGCGGGACUUUAAAAUAUAACGAAUAAGAUAUUGACGGUGAAAGUACCAGAUCACGUACCUCGGUUUGCGAUGUUGCAGACUCCCUGUCAUACUUUAUUUUUAAAAGAAUACUACUCAACGUCAAUCCUUGAAAACUGCUGUGUUUUCCCUUCUCUGUGUGAAGAAAACUCUGAAAAUCUAAAGAAAUUAUGUUGGUUUGUUCUCAUUGAAAAAUUAAAAUGAGAGCGGAGAUUUUUAAACAUCGCAACCGAGGUACAAAGUCUGGUAGUUCACCGUCGAUAUGUGGUUUUGAUACUUAAAUGAUGACAAAAGGGUGCCAAAAGUUGUCAGUGAAGUCAUAAAUACACUUUAAGAGGUAUAUUUUACCUCCUGUAACUUCAUGUUAUCAACAGAAAGCAUGACAUUUUUUAUGGUGCAAAUUUUAAAUAAACAAACAAUAAAGAGGAUUCGCUCGCCUUAAUUCAAUUAUUGUCCGGGCCUAGCGUGCACGCAAACGAUGGACUAUGUGGUUAAGGAGAGGAUAACAAAGCGUGCUAUGACCCUAGUGGAAGUGAAGUAUCCGCUGCGGAUACUUAACCAUCCGCAGCGGAUGCUGAGUCCGUGCAAGCAUCCGCCAGCAUCCGCAAGCAUCCGCCGCAUGGGGUUGCACAGGGUAGCAGGCAGUUCCAGGAAAAGCUGCAGGAGCAGGCGGAUGGUUGCGGAUGCUAAGCAUCCGCCAGCAUCUGCAAGCAUCCGCGAGCAUCUGCAAGCAUCCGCGAGCAUCUGCAAGCAUCCGCGAGCAUCCGCAAGCAUCCGCGGGCUCCUACCAGCCUGUGCAGCUCACUAAUUACACUGUUUCUGCACACAGUGAGCAAUUCCUUGUCCAAAGAAGGAGGAUUAUAG